UAACCUUUAAGGUGACAGUCCAUUUCCAACUGCAGCUGCACUACCGUUGCGACAUUACUGGUGCGACAUUACUGCAGCGGCCGACUGCUGCUGUUUGCGGCGUGCAGUCGCGGCAGCGUUCGUCAGUUGAUUGCCAAAGUCAAUGAAUAAUGUCACUGUCAGACGUAUAAAUAAAAUUACUAAUUUACUUAUUUGUAUUUUUUACGAGAAGAAGUAAGUGACGAUAAUGCUACAUGGUACACGAAAACGAAAAACAGUUUGCCUUUCUACAAAAGUCACAUACAGUCGAAGGCAGCUACGCAAUAUUAUUAAAAAACCAGAUAUUGUUGGUGAUCGUUUGUUUGCCGAUUAAAUGAAUAACAAUUUAACUUCAAAUUGAAGAAAUACAACCAAAUUACUCAAAUUAAAUGAAUGCAGAGGAGAAAUAUUUCUUCACUUAAGGUGUCCAUGGGUGACGGCACUCGUGGUCGUGGCAGAUACAGUGUAUGACUAGACCAUAUAAAACUUGAUGGGCGAGACAAGAAAUCCUUUAUGAAGAAAGCUAUUUACGUUAGCCAAGGGGCUGAUAGAAAGAAUAUUUAAUAAAUUAAUUGGAAUAAUAAAUAUUUUCCUCGUGAUGGUGUGAUAAAAUAAAUUCGUGUUGCGCUCUGUAGCAAAGUUUGUUUAACCCUCAUGCCUUGAAGUCCCCGCAACUGUCAAUACAAUUUUAUUUUAAAACCGCUGUCGCUUCUCUUGUGGUUCAAUUUUGUAAUUUUUCUUACGUUUGAGUAUCCAUAUGCUACCAUGAGGUGUUAAACAACAACUUUGCCUUUUGUAUUUCUAGGUAAUACAACUGAAUUAUUGCUUCUUUUAUCUCAAAAAUGGCUUUGAAAUGACAAAGUGAGAAAGUGUCACGAUAUUAUACACCGUGGGCUGGUAAAACCUGAUAGUUUUAAAGUUGUAUUCUUAAUCG